UAGCAUGUUUCCAGGGUCAGUGGCUUAUAAUGGCCGUAGGAUUUCCAAUUGCAUGCAAAAGCAACCUGGAGAGACUCUGACAGUGAAGGUCACCAGUACCUACAAUUGCCACUCACCUUUCCUAUAAAC